UACGUAGGGGGCAAGCGUUGUCCGGAUUUAUUGGGCGUAAAGAGCGUGUAGGCGGCUUUACAGGUCCGUUGUGAAAACUCGAGGCUCAACCUCGAGACGCCGGUGGAAACCGUAAGGCUAGAGUCCGGAAGAGGAGAGUGGAAUUCCUGGUGUAGCGGUCGAAAUGCGCAGGAUAUCAGGAGGAACACCCGUGGCGAAAGCGGCUCUCUGGGACGGUACUGACGCUGAGACGCGAAAGCGUGGGGAGCAAACAGG
rnacentral:rRNA from 1 species